UAAAUCGUCGGUAAACAUACAUUUGCACUUUGGCAUGUUGUUGGCGUACUGACAGCCACGCUAUCUAUCUUCUGAUUAAGAACAGGGCUGCCCGCACUGACGCGGCUCAGGGAUUACGUCACACGCAGCGCAGUGCCUUAGUGCCUGUAAAUUUAGGGGUCCAAUGAAGGUAAUUUAAAAACAGGACAUUUCCUCACUUUCUAAAAAAAACCCGGGACGCCCGGGACAGGACGUGAAAUACGGACAUGUCCCGGGAAAUACGGACGUUUGGUCACCCUACCAUAACAGCUGACAAGACAUGUG